GGAAAGUUAAUGAGCAUUAAUGAGGGCUCGAGGUCGGCGUAUGAGUCUGAACGUGCCGCGGGAUUGCUGAGGCUUUGCUGACUCCCAAUCGUCCAAUCGGUGUGUCCGUGCACGCAGAUGCAAUUGUUUCAGGCGCCAUUUUUGACCCUGCAGGACAAGCGCUGAUGGGAACUCUUCGCUGCGAGCCUUGAAGAGCGGGGGCCGGGGCCCAUUUCUUUGCCGGCGCCAGUGAUUGAGGCUGAUUGGGGCUCUUACGGAGGCCCCCGACUGCAUGACAAGGAGCUUGGAGCGACUGAAAUACGACGAGGUGGAGGGAAAAAUAACCUGACUGAGCUAUCUUUGAAAUUCACUUCAACUUCAUCAAUAAUCCCCCCACCGCCCAAAAUGCGACAACAACAACGACACGCUCUCGACCCGACCUCCCCUCCCCCCCGGCCCCCUCUCGUUUGGCCGCCCUCGUCCCCAGAGGCCUGGCGCCUGGAAGACCUGCAGGAGGGGAAAAACAAACUCGCCGACGGCGUCCUCUUCAGCUGUGGAGGCAAAAGAAGAAGAAACAGAGGAUGGAGAAGAAGAUGAUGAUGAUGAUGAUGAUGACAUGCAAGAUGAUGGGUGGGAAAAUUUCGCGUUCUGAAGG